rnacentral:rRNA from 1 species
CAUUGCAGUGAGUAUUACUAGUGCUACGCUCUAGUUGCUUACUGUAUGCAUAGAUGCCUGCUGUGACCAUUGAUGCCACUCAGGGCAUGACAUGCUGACUGUAGGUUAGUUGUUGCACUGUGUUGUUGCAUUCGCUUGGUCUUGGUAGUCAUGAUAUGUACAUGUUACUAGUCAUGACUUCCUUAGCGCUGGCUUGGCUGCAUGUGUUCCAGACCUUGGGUGCUGUGGAUUUGGACACAAGUAGUAUACUACUUGUGUCUAAAUGCAUACCACCACUGUAGUUGACUUUAGUAGGAUGUGCCAUUGCAACUAUGUAAUGUUGCUAUGACUCCUAGUAGUUGUCUGCGUACAUGUGUGAUGAAUGGAGUCUACUGACGAACUCAGCAGUUUGUUCCAGGAGAGCACUCUGUGUAAGUGCGCCACCUGAAUAAUCAGCUGUGAGUACUGUGUGUAUGAUGUAGUAAUAGUGCUCUUAGUACUUACUAUGUGAUGCAUGGUAUGUCUAGACACCUUACUGCUCUUUUUUUUUUUUUUUUUUUUUUUUUUUGGCAAGAUCAUUGAGUGCUUACCAGGACUCCGUCUGCACCAACACUUCGCACGUGCCAUGGGCAACCGUUGGGUAUACGCAUACGCACGACACUGGGAGUCUCCGUGGAGACUUCCAGAUUAUGUAGUUACGGUGCAGCUAAGACUAGAGGAUGACGCCCUAAGUUCGUUGUCGUCUUACCACUUCCAUACACAGUCUGUACUACCGGCCCAUGUCCUGGGCUUGGCUAGUUCAUUGAUGGGUUAUAGCCACGAUCACGUAGGCUGCUGGUUCUGGAAGCACAGCACUGUAGAGUGGAUAGAGUUAGUACGAAAGGACAACUCACUCAUCAAGACAGCAAAAAAAAAAAAAAAAAAAAAAA